rnacentral:rRNA from 1 species
UACGUAGGGGGCGAGCGUUGUCCGGAUUUAUUGGGCGUAAAGAGCUCGUAGGCGGCUUGUCGCGUCGACUGUGAAAUCCCGCGGCUCAACUGCGGGUCUGCAGUCGAUACGGACAGGCUAGAGUUCGGUAGGGGAGACUGGAAUUCCUGGUGUAGCGGUGAAAUGCGCAGAUAUCAGGAGGAACACCAGCGGCGAAGGCGGCGCUCUGGGCCGGAACUGACGCUGAGGAGCGAAAGCGUGGGGAGCAAACAGG